rnacentral:lncRNA from 1 species
CAUGGCUUAUGGUCCCAAGAAGCAUCUGACAUUGUUUGCAGCUCCACCAUGGGAUUCUGGAUAAACUGACUGGUGUGUUUGCUUCUUGUCCAUUUACUAGUCCCCAUAAGCUGAAACAGUCUCUCCCCAUCCUCACUUUUCCUAAGGAAGAGACUUACAUAUACCCUGACAAUGCUCCAAUUAAAAGACACAGAUUGAAAGAUUUGCAUGCAGUGGUUCAUUAAGAUCAAUGGCAAGGUCUGAACUGAUAUAACCUAUCCUGCUGGAUUCAUGAAUGUCAUCAGCAUUGAUAAGACUGAAAAGAAUUUUUGUCUGUUGUAUGACACCAAAGGUCACUCUGGUGUUCAUCAUACCACACCUGAGGAGGCCAAGUACAAGCUGUGCAAAGUGAGAAAAAUAUCUGUGGUCACAUGAUGGUUCAUGAUGCUCACACCAUCUGCUACUCGGAUCCACUCAUCAAGGUAAAUGACACCAUUCAAAUUGAUUUGGAGACUGGCAAGAUUACAGAUUGCAUCAAGUUGAACACUGGCAACUUGUUGACACUGGUAUCCUGUGACUGGAGAUGCUACCUUGGGAAGAAUUGGUGUGAUAAUGAACAGAGAGAAACAUUCUAGAUCUUUUGAUAUGGUGAAUGUGAAAGAUGCCAAUGGAAACAGCUUUGCCACCCAGCUCUCGGACAUUUUUGUUUUUGACAAGGGCAACAAACCAUGGAUUUAUCUUCCCCAAUGAAAGGGUGUCCACCUCGCCAUUGCUGAAGAGAGACAAAACUGAUGGCCAAACAGAGCAGUGGCUGAA